rnacentral:rRNA from 1 species
GACGAACGCUGGCGGCGUGCUUAACACAUGCAAGUCGCGCGAGGCCCCUCCUUCGGGAGGGUGUCCUAGCGGCGAACGGGUGAGUAACACGUGGGCAACCUGCCCUCAGCUCUGGGAUAAACCCAAGAAAUUGGGGCUAAUCACGGAUAUCACCGCUGACCGCAGGGUCUGGGGGUGGAAAGAUUUAUCGGCUGAGGAUGGGCCCGCGGCCUAUCAGCUUGUUGGUGGGGUAGUGGCCUACCAAGGCGACGACGGGUAGCCGGCCUGAGAGGGUGACCGGCCACACUGGGACUGAGACACGGCCCAGACUCCUACGGGAGGCAGCAGUGGGGAAUAUUGCGCAAUGGGCGGAAGCCUGACGCAGCGACGCCGCGUGGGGGAUGACGGCCUUCGGGUUGUAAACCGCUUUUACCAGGGACGAUAAUGACGGUACCUGAUGAAUAAGUCACGGCUAACUACGUGCCAGCAGCCGCCGUAAAAC